AACUUCAAGUCAAAAUCUUACUGC
rnacentral:snRNA from 1 species